rnacentral:rRNA from 3 species
AAAUUGAAGAGUUUGAUCAUGGCUCAGAUUGAACGCUGGCGGCAGGCCUAACACAUGCAAGUCGAACGGUAACAGGAAACAG